rnacentral:sRNA from 23 species
AUUCGCUCGUUUACCGUCGAUUAAGCUUUCGGCUUUAUGACUGGAACUGUCCUCGUUUGGACACCGAGUGGCUCCUGUCCACUCUGUUUGACGCCUCCCUGUUAUCAACUUUCAAAGCCGCCGGUCUUCCGGCGGCUCUUUUUUG